UACGGAGGGGGCGAGCGUUGUUCGGAAUCAUUGGGCGUAAAGGGCGCGUAGGCGGCCGUCCAAGUCGGGUGUGAAAUCCCUCGGCUCAACCGAGGAACUGCACUCGAUACUGGUCGGCUAGAGUCCGGGAGGGGAUGGUGGAAUUCCCAGUGUAGCGGUGAAAUGCGUAGAUAUUGGGAAGAACACCGGUGGCGAAGGCGGCCAUCUGGACCGGAACUGACGCUGAGGCGCGAAAGCCAGGGGAGCGAAUGGG
rnacentral:rRNA from 1 species